AGCUCCAAUAGCGUAUAUUAAAGUUGCUGCAGUUAAAAAGCUCGUAGUUGAAUUUCUGGUGAGCGAGAGCGGUCCGAUCAAUGAUUGGUGCUUGCUUUCGCUGGCCAUCCUUGGGUUUAGCCAGUCUGGCAUUAAGUUGUCGGGCUGGGGAUGCCCAUCGUUUACUGUGAAAAAAUUAGAGUGUUCAAAGCAGACUUAUGUCGUUGAAUAUAUUAGCAUGGAAUAAUAAGAUAGGACUACAGUGCUAUUUUGUUGGUUUGCGCACCGUGGUAAUGAUGAAUAGGGACAGUUGUGGGUAUUCGUAUUCACUUGUAAGAGGUGAUAUUCUUAGAUUAAGGGAAGACGAACUACUGCGAAAGCAUUUACCAAGGAUGUUUUCA
rnacentral:rRNA from 1 species